AGCAGAAUGGAGAGAUGCCAACAAUGUCCAGACAACAGUAGAAUUCACAAGACCAACAACAGGAGACUUAACCCAGAAGAACUGCACCACAACAGUGUAUGACAUCACUGAGCAGCAGGGACGAGGAGUUUGGUUCAGACUGGACUGUGACAAUCCUCUGAGAUGGAUAUUUAAAGAUAAAACACUGAACAUUACAGUGAAUGAAGUCCCACCCACACCUAAACUGACUCUGUCCACUGUGAGUGUGAGUGAGGGGCAGUCAGUGAGUGUGCAGUGCUCUGUUCCUGUCCCGUGUCUGUCUCUCCCUCCCACUUUGACAUGGAGCCCUGUCCUGGGGCACAUUCAGGAGACUCUGCAGGAGCAACCGGACAAGACCUAUGUCAAAGUGUCCACUCUCAACUUCACUGUUUCUGACCCAGAGACAAGCCUAUCAUGUUCUGCAGUCCACAACAGGG